rnacentral:ncRNA from 1 species
GUAUCCGUGCUGGACUGCAAUGAUAAAUAAGGGGCAAUUUGCAUUGUAUGGCUUCUAAACCAUUUAAAGUUUAUUAUUUAUAUUUUAAACGACAAUGGAUGUGAUGCCAAUGUAAUUUGUAACAUAGUAAAUUGGGAGGAUCUUUGAUCACCUGGUGCCAUGCUAGUUACAUAUGAAAACAUUAUUUAAUACAAUGACAAAGCCUAGAAUCAAUUGUAAACGACUUUUGUAACGGGCAAGGUGUUGUAAGUGGUUGAGCAGCUGCCAUACUGCGAUCCACUGAAGCUUAUCCUUUGCUUGAUGAUUCGA